rnacentral:rRNA from 1 species
UGGGGAAUAUUGGACAAUGGGGGCAACCCUGAUCCAGCAAUGCCGCGUGUGUGAAGAAGGCCUGCGGGUUGUAAAGCACUUUCAGUAGAGACGAAAAGCCUAAGGUUAAUACCCUUGAGUCUUGACUUAACCUACAGAAGAAGCACCGGCUAACUCCGUGCCAGCAGCCGCGGUAAUACGGAGGGUGCAAGCGUUAAUCGGAAUUACUGGGCGUAAAGCGCUCGUAGGCGGUUUGUUAAGUCGGAUGUGAAAGCCCCGGGCUUAACCUGGGAACUGCAUUCGAUACUGGCAGACUAGAGUAUAGUAGAGGCAAGCGGAAUUCCGGGUGUAGCGGUGAAAUGCGUAGAUAUCCGGAGGAACAUCAGUGGCGAAGGCGGCUUGCUGGACUAAUACUGACGCUGAGGAGCGAAAGCGUGGGGAGCAAACGGGAUUAGAUACCCGGGUAGUCC